CUCCAAUUAGGCAAGGAAAUGAAAGGAGCUGUGUGCAAUUUCCAGCAGCUGGUAACUUCCUCACUCUGCUCCCAGGAUGGCUGGGUUUGGAUUGAUCCAGCCAGGAGUCUGUGCUGCUUUGCCCAUAGGGUCAGAGGAGGGAAGGGGCACUUGGUGUUGGCGGUUCCCAGGCAUCAUCCCAGAGGGAAAUACCUUUCCUGCUCCCAUUGGCAGAGGUACUGUAUGACUGGUCUUGUGAAAUUCAGAUGCCAACAAUUGGCUUGGAUGAGCAGCAGUACUCGCUCAGUGAAGGGGGAAGAGCAGGAAGACUGGUUUCUGGCUUGGUACUUCAUGAUGUGGGGGGGAGUGGUUUUCUCAUUGUUUCUUCUAAGCACUACUCUAUUUUUGUUCAAAACCCUCCUUUGCCUUGAGGAAGCUGUAUGUCACCAGCUGCCCCUGAUGCUGCUCCCUGAUGAACCAGAACUGCGGGCGAUGGAGAUGAAUCCAGGUCUGCUGGGAUAA
rnacentral:lncRNA from 1 species